rnacentral:lncRNA from 1 species
UUCUCAAGACGUACUAAUUGACUUUCCAUCAAAAUAUCAAUCUUAAUUGUUUCAAGUCUCAAGUAGAGCCAAAUAAAAAUUCUUAAGUCUCAUCCCCAAGUAUUUUCCUUCUAUAUACGAGUUCCAUGCAUGAUCCACAUACAGAUUUCAAUAAAUAUUUUCUAGUCCAAGCUUUAAACAUCUUUUUAUAGAUGAAUCUUAAUUUGCCAC